rnacentral:rRNA from 1 species
GAUCCUGCCAGUAGUCAUAUGCUUGUCUCAAAGAUUAAGCCAUGCAUGUCUCAGUGUAAGUUUCAAAAUGGCGAAACUGUGAAUGGCUCAUUAAACCAGUUGUAGUCUAUUUGACAUCUUGACAUGGAUAACUGUGGUAAUUCUAAAGCUAAUACAUGCACCAGUGCCCAACUUUGCGGAAAGGCUCUAUUUAUUACUUUCGGAACUGACCCUGGAUCUUCCUGGCUUCAUGAGGAAUCGCAAUAACUGCAUGAAUUUCACAGCAACUGCUGGCAAUAAAUCACUCAAAUCUCUGACCUAUCAGCUUCUGAAGGUAGGGUAUUGGCCUACCUUGGCAAUGACGGGUAACGGAAAAUUAGGGUUUGAUUCCGGAGAGGGAGCCCUAGAAACGGCUACCACAUCUAAGGAAGGCAGCAGGCGCGCACAUUACCCAAUCCUGACACAGAGAGGUAGUGACAAGGAAUAACAAUACAGGGCAUGUUUGUCUUGUAGUUGGAAUGAGUAGAAUGUACAUCCCUUUACAAGCAUCGAUUGGAGGGCAAGUCUGGUGCCAGCAGCCGCGGUAAUUCCAGCUUCAAUAGUGUAUAUUAAAGUUGUUGCGGUUAAAAAGCUCGUAGUAGGAUAUCUGCCAAGGUUGACUGGUCCACCCUUUGGGUGAGUAUCCGGCCCGACCGAAGCAUAUGCUUGGAGAGCGUGGCUACACUUGACUGUGUGGUGCGAUGUUCAGGACUUUUACUUUGAGGAAAUUGGAGUGUUUCAGGCAGGCUCGUGCCUUGCACAUAUUAGCAUGGAAUAAACACAUAGGGCCUCGGUUCUAUGAUGUUGGUUUCUAGAGCUGGGGUAAUGGUGGAAAGGGAUACUUGGGGGCAUACGGAUUCAACUGUCAGAGGUGAAAUUCUUGGAUUUGUUGAAGACGGUCUACUGUGAAAGCAUUUGCCAAUAAUGUUUUCAUUGAUCAAGAAUGAAAGUUAGGGGAUCGAAGAUGAUCAGAUACCGUCUUAGUCUUAACCAUAAACUAUGCCAGCUAGAGAUUGGAGGCUGUUACUUAGAAGACUCCUUCAGCACCUUAAGAGAAAUUAAAGUCUUUGGGUUCCGGGGGGAGUAUGAUUGCAAGGCUGAAACUUAAAGGAAUUGGCGGAAGGGCACCACCAGAAGUGGAGCCUGCGGCUUAAUUUGACUCAACACGGGGAAACUUACCAGGCCAAGACAUAGCAAGGAUUGACAGAUUGAUAGCCCCUUCUUGAUUCUAUGGGUGGUGGUGCAUGGCCGUUCUUAGUUGGUGGAGUGAUUUGUCUGGUUAAUUCCGUUAACGAACGAGAUCUUGACCUGCUAAGUAGUUUCACGUAGCCUAGGUUAUAUGGAGAACUUCUUAGAGGAACUUUGCGUGCCUAAUGCAAGGAAGUUCGAGGCAAUAACAGGUCUGUGAUGCCCUUAGAUGUUCUGGGCUGCACGCGCGCUACACUGGUGUAUUCAACAGGUGUAUAACUUUGCCUGGAAUGGUAGGGCAAUCCUCUCAAAGCACAUCAUGAUGGGGAUCGAUUACUGCAACUACUAAUCUUCAACGAGGAAUUCCUAGUAGGUGUGAGUCAUCAGCUUGUACUGAUUACGUCCCUGCCCUUUGUACACACCGCCCGUCGCUCCUACUGAUUGAGUGAUCCGGUAAAUAAUUCGGAUUGCAACACUGCUCGCCCCAGAAUGCUGCUGCACAAAGUUUGGUGAACCUUAUCACUUAGAGGAAGGAGAAGUCGUAACAAGGUUUCCG